rnacentral:SRP_RNA from 2 species
GCCGGGCGUGGUGGCGGGCGCCUGUAAUCCCAGCUACUUUGGAGGCUGAGGCAGGAGACUUGCUUGAACCCAGGAGGCGGAGGUUGCAGUGAGCUGAGAUCAUGCCACUGCACUCCAGCCUGGGCAACAGAGCGAGAUUCUGUCUCAA